CAGUCGCCACGGUAAUACGGAGGGUGCAAGCGUUAAUCGGAAUUACUGGGCGUAAAGCGCACGCAGGCGGUCUGUCAAGUCAGAUGUGAAAUCCCCGGGCUUAACCUGGGAACUGCAUUUGAAACUGGCAGGCUAGAGUCUUGUAGAGGGGGGUAGAAUUCCAGGUGUAGCGGUGAAAUGCGUAGAGAUCUGGAGGAAUACCGGUGGCGAAGGCGGCCCCCUGGACAAAGACUGACGCUCAGGUGCGAAAGCGUGGGGAGCAAACAGGAUUAGAUACCCGCGUAGUUCCUGUCUUUUAUAA
rnacentral:rRNA from 1 species